GGGCCUGUAGCUCAGUGGUUAGAGCAGCGGACUCAUAAUCCGUUGGUCCACAGUUCAAGUCUGUGCAGGCCCACCA
rnacentral:tRNA from 1 species